UUUUGUUUAAAAUAAAUUUUUUUAUUUUAUUUGAUUUUGUACUUAAUUAUUCCCAUCAUAUCAUGCAAAUAUUCUUUUUUAAAGAAUAAAAGAAAUUAAAGAAAAUCUGCAGAGAUCAUUAUUUUAUAUUAUAUUAUAUUAAUGCUUGUAUAGCAUGUCCUUUAUUUCUUCUUUAUUAAUGUAUUUUUUUCCAACAUAGUAGCGUGCCAACGGUUAUCGUCCUCUGCAGAAGCAACCAAUUAAGGCCUUGAAAACACGAUCUCUACACUUGCAGCAACAUCCCCUUACUGGUACUGAAGAACUAUCCAACAACUAUCUUGAUAUAGCUAUCACUCCUCUUGGAUAUUACCUGAACUUCAUCUUGUUCUUGAG
rnacentral:misc_RNA from 1 species